rnacentral:rRNA from 1 species
AGCCUCCGUUUAUGUUGUGAUCAGCUUUGAUCAGCUCUUCAACUUGAGAGUUUGAUCCUGGCUCAGAGCGAACGCUGGCGGCAGGCUUAACACAUGCAAGUCGAGCGGGCAUCCUUGUGGUGUCAGCGGCAGACGGGUGAGUAACGCGUGGGAACGUGCCCUUCGGUUCGGAAUAACUCAGGGAAACUUGAGCUAAUACCGGAUACGUGCGAGAGCAGAAAGGUUUAUCUGCCGAAGGAUCGGCCCGCGUCUGA